UUCAUUUUUUUAGGUUUUCUUCGCCACUUCCUUCACGACCACCACCUCUUUCUUCUCUCUUUCUCUUCACAAUAGGCUGACGGUCAUUCUCCUUUCUCUCACUGCUAUUGACUAUCCAUCCCCAUUCCCUACUCGGGCUUCUUCUCAGAUGACAAAGUUGGCAGGGAAGAUCUCGAUAGUAGCUGGCAUUCAACCUCUGACUAUCUAGAAAUCUCACUGGAGGGGUUCUUUGGUGCAUUUUUUUUCUUCCACUUCCGAUCCUCCACAACUCCGCCCUUGUUGGAAACGGUAAAGAAGGCAGCAGGACUCAUCUUCAUCUUACUAGAGAGCAAAGACUCCACCCUAAGGGUUCUUGGGUGGAGGAUUCACAUCAUCAAGUGUCAACUCCAGUUCUCGCCAGUUCUUCAUAGCUAACCACAAAAGCUGGGGGUUCUUUCUUCAGCCUUCCUGUGUGAUGAUAGGGAGGGUUAGAAGAGGAGAAGUCUACACCCAUUCCACUUCAUUUCAGACAACAGUUCUUCAUUAGUUCAUUCUAUUAGUUCAUUCUAUUUGUUGGGUUGUUUCUCUAAAGUUUUCAUGAGUUGGUUGUGGAUGUUGGUUUGGCUACUUAGUUUCUUUCAUGUUCAUUAUUGAUGGCUGAUAGUUGAUUGAAUGCUUGUGUUGAACUUAAUUCCCCAUGUUUGAAUUGCACUAAUUUUUCCUCA